ACUGAUGACGUACAUGCCCUUAUAAGGGCAUGCUUCCUCAGCGAAAGGAAAACCCUUCGCUGGAGGCGUGUGUGUGAGCUCGGCUGUGUGUGUGUUUUUUUUUUUUUUUUUUUAACUCUGCUCUUUCCAGAAUGGAACGGAAACUAUAGCACAGCUCCAUCUAUACGUUUCAUUACUGUAACUGGGUCAUGUGAUCACCAGCCUGACCCAAAGAAAACCACAGUGUUUAAUAUGUCUGUCCUGGAUCAGCUUUUCAUGUGAUCUAAAGGAUGACAUCAUCACCCACCUAUAAGUUCUCUCCUGGCUGCUCACAGACUCCUCCCCACCCAGAACUGUAUACUGCUGCUGCUAUCUCUGUAAGAUCAUGUUCCAGCAAUCUCCUCCUUAUCAUCACUCCUGUGUGUAGAAAAUUAGGCUAUUAGAAGAGCGACCAUUGCCGGCA